CUGCCGCGGGGCUAAAUCCUCUGGAAAGGGGUAUCAGAGAAGGUGAAAAUCCUGUCUGUGCUUCACCCUCCGGUUCGCUGUUUUGCCGGUCAAAGAGUCGGGUUGUUUGGGAUUGCAACUCAAAAUAGGUGGUAAACUUCAUCUAAAACUAAAUAUCAGCAGUAAACCAAUAGCGAACAAGUACCGUGAGGGAAAGGUGAAAAGAACUUUGAAAAGAGGGUUAAAAGUACGUGAAAUCGUUGAAAGGGAAAUGGUUGGGGCAGUAGCGGCGCCUUGCGGGUUUUCGAGCCCCUUUGUGCCACCAGCAUGAUUGGCGUGAGAGUCUUGGUCCGCGUGUAUCCUUUUUGGAUGCGCGUAGGCUUUAAUUCUCUUGUGCGAGUCAGGUUUCAAUUUGCCUUGGCGGAGGGCCCCAGUAGUAAGUGAUUGCUGCUGGGGUGCUCUUCCAAAAGAAUGAUGCUGGUUUUACUUCCCAACCAACCCGUCUUGAAACACGGACCAAGGAGUCUAAUGCGCAUGCGAGUGUUUGAAUGUAAAAAUUCAACCGCGAACUGAAAGGAAUUAGAUGCCAUCCGCAAGGUGCAGCAUCGGCCGGUGGGGCGUGGGCCUUGUCCGAGUUUUAGCAUGUGCCUUAGGA
rnacentral:rRNA from 1 species